rnacentral:lncRNA from 1 species
AUCUCAGAACCUCCGGGGUGCUGCUGGGGCGCCCCUGCUCCCCAGCCUUCGGGCGUGCAAAGCUCAAUGUCCUCCCUCUUCCCUACCUCCUCCUCCAGCAGAUAAGGCCAGCAGGAGGCUCAGCUCAGCCCCUGGGCUCCUGUCCCUGCCACGGAGCGGCAGAGCAGUGGCAUCGUUUUGGUGCCACAUUGAAGGUGCCCCAGCCCUGCCUGCCAGCCCAGCGUGGGUCACCGUGUGUGCUCUCCACCUCCGCUCUCUCCAUUUGGAACUUGGGAACGGGAAAGAGGUGUUAUGUAUUUGAAACAACUGUUCAUAAGAUCAAGAAGCCAUCAGCUCUCCAGGCUGGAGGAGCAGCCCGGGUCACAAGACACAUCAUAUGCCCAGCAGUCAGCAGACGGGUGGAGCUGUCAUGGUACCUGAUCAGGAAGACAAGAGGAUGGAGUCACUGAACAUGCGACCUCCUAAUGAGAUCAUGGGGUUCAAAUCCUGACUUUACCGUUUAACCAGUGUUGACCUGAAGAUGUUAGCUUUUUCUGUCUCCUUUUCCUUACCUUGUAAAAUAGGUGUGAUGUCAGUUACCUACACCAUAGGGUCUUGUGAGGACUAAUUCUCUUAGCACAAGUCAUCUGCAGAGCGGUCCCAGAAUCCGUCAGCAACCACCAGCCACUUAUGAAAAUGGGUAAUUUUGCAGUCAUUAACCAGCAUGUUUUAGAAAAUACUUAAUGAUUAAGGGAAAUUUGUACAAGUUUGGUUUUUUUAAGUUGAGAUAUGACCUAUAAAG